UAAUACGGAGGGUGCGAGCGUUAAUCGGAAUUACUGGGCGUAAAGCGCAUGCAGGUGGUUAGUUAAGUCAGAUGUGAAAGCCCGGGGCUCAGCCUCGGAACUGCAUUUGAAACUGGCUGACUAGAGUACUGUAGAGGGGGGUAGAAUUUCAGGUGUAGCGGUGAAAUGCGUAGAGAUCUGAAGGAAUACCAGUGGCGAAGGCGGCCUUCUGGACUGACACUGACACUGAGGUGCGAAAGCGUGGGUAGCAAACAGGAUUAGAUACCCUGGUAGUCCACGCCGUAAACGAUGUCGACCAGCCGUUGGGUGCCUAGCGCACUUUGUGGCGAAGUUAACGCGAUAAGUCGACCGCCUGGGGAGUACGGCCGCAAGGUUAAAACUCAAAUGAAUUGACGGGGGCCCGCACAAGCGGUGGAGCAUGUGGUUUAAUUCGAUGCAACGCGAAGAACCUUACCUACUCUUGACAUCCUGCGAAUUUGGUAGAGAUACCUUAGUGCCUUCGGGAACGCAGAGACAGGUGCUGCAUGGCUGUCGUCAGCUCGUGUUGUGAAAUGUUGGGUUAAGUCCCGUAACGAGCGCAACCCUUGUCCUUAUUUGCCAGCGCGUAAUGGCGGGAACUCUAAGGAGACUGCCGGUGACAAACCGGAGGAAGGUGGGGACGACGUCAAGUCAUCAUGGCCCUUACGAGUAGGGCUACACACGUGCUACAAUGGUCGGUACAAAGGGUUGCCAACUCGCGAGAGUGAGCCAAUCCCGAAAAGCCGAUCUCAGUCCGGAUCGGAGUCUGCAACUCGACUCCGUGAAGUCGGAAUCGCUAGUAAUCGUGGAUCAGAAUGCCACGGUGAAUACGUUCCCGGGCCUUGUACACACCGCCCGUCACACCAUGGGAGUGGACUGCACCAGAAGUGGUUAGCCUAACGCAAGAGGGCGAUCACCACGGUGUGGUUCAUGACUGGGGUGAAGUCGUAACAAGGUAGCCG
rnacentral:rRNA from 1 species